rnacentral:rRNA from 1 species
AGUGAACGCUGGCGGUAGGCCUAACACAUGCAAGUCGAACGGCAGCACAGUAAGAUCUUGCUCUUACGGGUGGCGAGUGGCGGACGGGUGAGGAAUACAUCGGAAUCUACUUUUUCGUGGGUGAUAACGUAGGACAACUUACGCUAAUACCGCAUACGACCUACGGGUGAAAGCAGUGGAUCUUCGCACCUUGCGCGAUUGAAUUAGCCGAUGUCGGAUUAGCUAGUUGGCGGGGUAAAGGCCCACCAAGGCGACGAUCCGUAGCUGGUCUGAGAGGAUGAUCAGCCACACUGGAACUGAGACACGGUCCAGACUCCUACGGGAGGCAGCAGUGGGGAAUAUUCGACAAUGGGCGAAAGCCUGACGCAGCCACACCGCGUGAGUGAAGAAGGCCUUCGGGUUGUAAAGCCCUGUUAUUGGGAAAGAAAAGAAGCAGGUUAAUCCACCGCUGUUCUGACGGUACCCAAAGAAUAAGCAACGGCUAACUUCGUG